ACAAAUGAAGAUUUUAUUGCAAUCAAAGAGCGUGAGACAUGCUGGAGUUGGAGAAAACUACGUACACUCCAAAUUACAAGUGAGGUAAAAGACUAUGUUCCCCAUUACAAACUUAUCAAAUAACCAAUGUAGAACAACGUUUAUGCAGUAGUGAGAGUAGAUAGAACAAGGCAAUAAUUCUACCUGCGGUACCACAAAUACAACCCCAAUCUUGUAUCAUUUAGACCCGUCUCUCCCUGUCUAAAUGUACUUGGUCUAGUAUAAUGCAGACAAAUUAAUAGCUUGAGCC
rnacentral:lncRNA from 1 species